rnacentral:lncRNA from 1 species
AUGUGUUAAAUUUUCGAUUCGAUGUCAUCAGAAAUUUCGAAGAGGAACGCACGUGACAAUAAGUGGUAAUAUUAUGGGCACACACUGAAUAGAUACACGUGGUAAAGUCUUCAAGAGGGAAAGAAAGAUGCAAUCGCUUGCAAAAAGAACGCAGACAGAAAAUAUAACCAGUAUCAUUAUAUAUAAACUGAUAAACGAAGAAUGAAAUGGAGAAUUCACUUCAAGAGAAAGACAGAGGUUUAAGAUACUAACAAUAAGAUAAAGAAGGACAGAAUGACCAACAAGGAUAGAAGAACACAAUAUGAGCGAUAAGGAGAGGGGAGCAAGCAAAUAGAGGGGCAUAUACAUUGCGAAAAAGACAGAGAGAAACGCAGAACAGAAAUAGAUGAGCGUACUGAAGUAUAAGUUAAAAGGAGAGAGAAUGACAAUAGAGAGAGGUGAAGAGGAAGGAGUACGAAGGCCGUUGCAUGAAUAAGCGCACGCGCGAUCUAUAAGCACGUGGGUAAACCGCCUCCAACAAGAUUCGCACAUACAAUAUUGGACUCGUGGAUAUACGCAAAUAGCGUUUUCAUUUCUUUCUACAUCUCCCAUAUCUGCCACGUCGUGUUGCGGAACUCGUACAUGUACUUUAUUAAACUUUAUCGAACUCGAGACUACGCGAAACUGGUGGAUUUUUCGCGAACUAACGAAAACAGAGAACGUGUCGUUAUGGUAAGUCACCGUGUAAUUUCAACACGUCGAGCGUCGCCUCGUACUGAGAAGUCACCAACAAUGGCGCCGAACGAUAAAAGUUCGGAUAGUAGCAUAUGCCGUACGUGCCAUGCGGCAUGACACCGAUGGCCGCACAGUCACGUGGAACCAAUACAUAUAGAUAGAACUUCUACGUGGAAGAACGUCGCGUCGUGUACGCACACGCGCAACUGCACAGAAUGCCGAAACGAGACGAACAUGUGACUUAGACGAAGAAAGUGAACAUCUUACAUGGUGGGGAGAAGCAAAGGAUGAUCUAAAGUGAGAAAAACAAGGUUUGAAACAGAAUUACAUAGAAAAUAUUAGUCUGACAAAGAUACGAAAGCAUCUAAGGAGAAAAGAAACUGCAAAUACGAAACGCAGACGGAGAGAAAAUAUGAGAUAGAAGAUACAUACGGAAAGAAAGGAGAGGUUAAGUGCAGAGUGCAAGAGAUAAGAGACAUGGCUUGCAAGGAGUGGGGAUCACGAGAUAGAAGAGACAACAAGAAACGCUGUGGUGGGGGAACAGCGUGUCUUUAGAAACAACUCUGUACGGCAAAUAGAGCAACGAUAAGAUGAAGAAAGAAUGUAUAUGCACAUUUACUAUAAAAAAUAAGGGAUAAAAAAUUGUCAUGUAAAAGUAGAAUAAUAUACUGUAAGUGCAUGCGAUCAGGUUAAAGAAAAACAACGGCAACGAUGUUUGCAUGUAUUUACAGUGAAAACGAUACGUAUGCCGUUCACAUUGGAAAGAAACAAACAGACCGUACAGUAAGUAGACAAAAAGAGAAGCAUGCGCAGACUGAAAGAGUACAGAGAAAGAGAUACAGAAAAUAAACGGACCGGAGAGAGAAAGAUAGAAACAAAUGGUAAACAACAAAGACAGAUUCAGCGGCACUAGAGACAACAGAAGUGCGAGAAAGAUGCGAAACAGUUGAUGGUAGAAUCAGAAUUGAAAUCACGAAAGAAGGAAAAGGAGGAAGUGUAGUCGACCUUCGCGAGGACGCACAUUCGUGAUUCUUUGAUGAUCGCAUGCAGUUUCACAACUCUUCCGAAAUUGCAGCAAAA